rnacentral:rRNA from 1 species
GACGAACGCUGGCGGCGUGCUUAACACAUGCAAGUGGAGCGACGAACCGGGGCUUGCCCCCGGGGCAGAGCCGCGAACGGGUGAGUAACACGUGGGUAACCCACCCCGAUGAUUGGGACAACCCCGGGAAACCGGGGCUAAUACCAAAUGUGCCCUUGGUCCAUGAGGACCUCGAGUAAAGAUAGCUUCGGCCUUCGCAUCGGGACGGGCCCGCGGCCCAUUAGCUUGUUGGUGAGGUAACGGCUCACCAAGGCGACGAUGGGUAGCUGGUCUGAGAGGACGAUCAGCCACACUGGGACUGAGACACGGCCCAGACUCCUACGGGAGGCAGCAGUGGGGAAUAUUGCACAAUGGGCGAAAGCCUGAUGCAG